rnacentral:misc_RNA from 1 species
AAAAUGCGAUACGUAAUGCGAAUUGCAGAAUUCAGUGAAUCAUCAAAUCUUUGAACGCAUCUGGCGCUUAUGGGUAACCCUGUAAGCACACUUUGUUGAGGGUCACUUCUUCUCAACUCGUCUACGUACUUUAUGUGAGUACGCAAGGCGGAUUCAGAACGGUUGACUUCAGUCUACCUGUUUGUUGUGCCACUUCAACUCCGAUCUAGUGAUCAACUAGUUCGAUGUCUGAUAAUUGACUUUUAUGUCAUUUCAUAUCUGCAUUGAACUUGGAACACGUAAGAACGGAGAGAUGUAAGUGUCGAAAAAAGUAGGAAACCUGCACAUUUCUACGUGUGCACUCUUUUUUGACCUCAACUAAAGUGAGAGAACCCGCCGAAUUUAA